rnacentral:rRNA from 1 species
GCCCGAGGAGGUGACCCUGAGGAGCGCGCAGCCGCCGGAGCCAUGGGUAGAUCCAGUCGGGAGCGUCGGCAACCAUCCCUCCUUCCGGCGGCGAUGAAGAAUUGAAGAGGCUUGAGGAGAAUGGGCGCAUGGGCCGUGCGCGUCUCCCGCGCUGGAGCCACCGGUCCUCGUCAUCUGCUAGGAUCCACGAGGAAUCGAUCCAUAUAUUCAAAAGAAGCAUAAUGGAGUUGCAGCUGAACCGUUCUUCGGUUGGAUGAAGAAGCAAAUGUAAUUAGAAUACUUUACUUAGCAAUAAUUGUAGUUUGCAUUGAUGGAUUGAAAAAUGUAACACCAUUCAGAAGAUCUUUUUCUUUGGUCGAAUUGAUGCAAAUGCUAUGGUGUAAUAUUCUUCAUAGAUGAGUUCUCUAUAGUAAAAUAUAUAUGAAUGAUAUGAUGUCUAGCCAAUAACAUUGGUAUGUAUUUAUUGUAAUGCAUAUGUAUCCUACACUCUUGUAGAUUCAUCAUAAAUACCUUGAUAUUUUCAAUUUG